UUGAAGAGAGAUUUCUAACAAAUCAGAAAUCCUAGUAUUAUCAAAAAUUGCCUUAGUAGGACCAUGGUCCACAAGGCGAGCAUGUCAUCUACGAAAAACGACAUCAAAUUUAGGCCAAGUGCGAAUAACUCUUUCACGAAGUAGCCCCAACGGCAAAGAAUUUAGAAACGGAGGGCCCUGAGUACAAGGGAACAGCUGACCGACCGCCGCUUGUUCGAUG
rnacentral:lncRNA from 1 species